UACGUAGGGUGCGAGCGUUAAUCGGAAUUACUGGGCGUAAAGCGUGCGCAGGCGGUUUUGUAAGCCAGAUGUGAAAUCCCCGGGCUUAACCUGGGAAUGGCAUUUGGGACUGCAAGGCUUGAGUGCGGCAGAGGAGACUGGAAUUCCUGGUGUAGCAGUGAAAUGCGUAGAGAUGUGGAGGAACACCAGUGGCGAAGGCGGCUUUCUGGUCUGUAACUGACGCUGAGGCGCGAAAGCGUGGGGAGCAAACAGG
rnacentral:rRNA from 1 species